rnacentral:rRNA from 1 species
AGCGAACGCUGGCGGCAGGCCUAACACAUGCAAGUCGAACGAACCCUUCGGGGCUAGUGGCGGACGGGUGAGUAACACGUGGGAACGUGCCUUUAGGUUCGGAAUAACUCAGGGAAACUUGUGCUAAUACAGACUGUGCCCCUCGGGGGAAAGAUGCAUCGACUUUAGAGCGGCCCGCGUCUGAUUAGCUAGUUGGUGAGGUAAUGGCUCACCAAGGCUACGAUCAGUAGCUGGUCUGAGAGGAUGACCAGCCACAUUGGGACUGAGACACGGCCCAAACUCCUACGGGAGGCAGCAGUGGGGAAUCUUGCGCAAUGGGCGAAAGCCUGACGCAGCCAUGCCGCGUGGAUGAUGAAGGUCUUAGGAUUGUAAAAUCCUUUCACCGGUGAAGAUAAUGACUGUAGCCGGAGAAGAAGCCCCGGCUAACUUCGUGCCAGCCGCCGCAGUAAUAC